CGGGAACUCUGACACAGGUGCUGCAUGGCUGUCGUCAGCUCGUGUCGUGAGAUGUUGGUUAAGUCCCGCAACGAGCGCAACCCCUAUCUUUAGUUGCCAUCAUUGAGUUGGGCACUCUAAAGAGACUGCCGGUGUCAAACCGGAGGAAGGUGGGGAUGACGUCAAGUCCUCAUGGCCUUUAUGACCAGGGCUACACACGUACUACAAUGGCCGGUACAAAGGGCAGCGACACAGCGAUGUGAAGCGAAUCCCGAAAAGCCGGUCUCAGUCCGGAUUGGAGUCUGCAACUCGACUCCAUGAAGUUGGAAUCGCUAGUAAUCGCGGAUCAGCACGCCGCGGUGAAUACGUUCCCGGGCCUU
rnacentral:rRNA from 1 species